rnacentral:lncRNA from 1 species
AUGGUAUGUGUUCUUGCACAUUUACAUUUAGUUUCUCUCCAUUUGAAGGUAUAUGCUCUGAAUCGGGUUGAUUUAUUUUCUCUCCAUCUGAGGGUAUAUGUUCUUGCUCACAUAUAUCCAGUGUCUCUCCGCCUGAAGGUAUAUGCUCUGGCUCAGAUUGAUUCAGUUUCUCUCUGCCUGAAGGUAUAUUCCCUUGUUCAGAUUGAUUCAGUUUCUCUCCGUUUGAAGGUAUAUACUCUGGCUCGGAUGGAUUCAUUUUCUCUCCGUCUGAGGGUAGGUAUUCUUGCGCAUAUAGAUUCAGUUUCUCUCCGCCUGAAGUUAUGUACUCUGCCUCGGAUUGAUUCAGUUUCUCUCCGCCUGAAAUUAUAUACUCUGGCUCGGAUUGAUUCACUUUUUCUCCGCCUGAAGGUAUAUACUUUUGUUCAGAUUGAUUCAGUUUCUCUCUGUCUGAGGGUAUGUGUUCUUGCACAUAUAGAUUCAGUUUCUCUCCGCCUGAGGUUGUGUACUCUGACUCAGAUUGAUUCAGUUUCUCUCUGUCUGAGGGUAUGUGUUCUUGCUCAUAUAGAUUCAGUUUCUCUCCGCCUGAGGGUAUAUACUCUUGUUCAGAUUGAUUCAGUUUCUCUCCGUCUGAGGGUGUGUGUUCUUGCACAUAUAGAUUCAGUUUCUCUCCGCCUGAGGUUGUGUACUCUGACUCAGAUUGAUUCAGUUUCUCUCUGCCUGAGGGUAUGUGUUCUUGCUCAUAUAGAUUCAGUUUCUCUCCGCCUGAGGGUAUAUACUCUUGUUCAGAUUGAUUCAGUUUCUCUCCGUCUGAGGGUGUGUGUUCUUGCACAUAUAGAUUCAGUUUCUCUCCGCCUGAGGGUAUAUACUCUGACUCAGAUUGAUUCAGUUUCUCUCUGUCUGAGGGUAUGUGUUCUUGCUCAUAUAGAUUCAGUUUCUCUCCGCCUGAGGGUAUAUACUCUUGUUCAGAUUGAUUCAGUCUCUCUGAGUGUAUCUGCUCUACCUCCUCACUGUAUGAUAUGUCAUGUGUCUGGGAAAGUUCAGUGUGAGACUCAAUUUGAAGACUCAGUACUGACUCGCUCUCAAUCAUCUGCCCAGUAA